rnacentral:misc_RNA from 1 species
AACUUUCAGCAACGGAUCUCUUGGUUCUGGCAUCGAUGAAGAACGCAGCGAAAUGCGAUAAGUAAUGUGAAUUGCAGAAUUCAGUGAAUCAUCGAAUCUUUGAACGCACAUUGCGCCCUGUGGUAUUCCGCAGGGCAUGCCUGUUCGAGCGUCAUUUAACCACUCACGCCUAGCGUGGUAUUGGGGCACGCGGUCUCGCGGCCCUCAAAAUUAGUGGCGGCGCCGGUGGGCUCUAAGCGUAGUACAUACUCCCGCUAUAGAGUUCCCCCGGUGGCUCGCCAGAACCCCCAAUUUUUUACAGGUUGACCUCGGAUCAGGUAGGGAUACCCGCUGAACUUAAGCAUAUCAAUAAGCGGAGGCU